rnacentral:rRNA from 1 species
GAUGAACGCUGGCGGCGUGCCUAAUACAUGCAAGUCGAGCGAACAGACGAGGAGCUUGCUCCUCUGACGUUAGCGGCGGACGGGUGAGUAACACGUGGAUAACCUACCUAUAAGACUGGGAUAACUUCGGGAAACCGGAGCUAAUACCGGAUAAUAUAUUGAACCGCAUGGUUCAAUAGUGAAAGACGGUUUUGCUGUCACUUAUAGAUGGAUCCGCGCCGCAUUAGCUAGUUGGUAAGGUAACGGCUUACCAAGGCGACGAUGCGUAGCCGACCUGAGAGGGUGAUCGGCCACACUGGAACUGAGACACGGUCCAGACUCCUACGGGAGGCAGCAGUAGGGAAUCUUCCGCAAAGGGCGAAAGCCUGACGGAGCAACGCCGCGUGAGUGAUGAAGGUCUUCGGAUCGUAAAACUCUGUUAUUAGGGAAGAACAAAUGUGUAAGUAACUAUGCACGUCUUGACGGUACCUAAUCAGAAAGCCACGGCUAACUACGCG